rnacentral:rRNA from 1 species
UACAGAGACUGCAAGCGUUAUUCGGAUUCACUGGGCGUAAAGGGUGCGCAGGCGGCCGGGUGUGUCAGAUGUGAAAUCCCGAGGCUUAACCUCGGAACUGCGUCUGAAACUACUCGGCUAGAGUAUUGGAGAGGGUAACGGAAUUUACGGUGUAGCAGUGAAAUGCGUAGAUAUCGUAAGGAAGACCAGUGGCGAAGGCGGGUCUCUGGACAGUUCCUGACGCUGAGGCACGAAGGCCAGGGGAGCAAACGGG